CAUUAAGAAGCUUUAAUGGAUUAAGCAUUAGCCUUUUAAGCUAUAACCUGGUGUACUCCAACCACCCUUAAUGA
rnacentral:tRNA from 1 species